UACGGAGGAUCCAAGCGUUAUCCGGAUUUACUGGGUUUAAAGGGUGCGUAGGUGGAAUGACAAGUCAGUGGUGAAAACCUAUAGCUUAACUAUAGAACUGCCAUUGAUACUGUUAUUCUUGAGUGUAUUUGAUGUAAGUGGAAUGUGUCAUGUAGCGGUGAAAUGCUUAGAUAUGACACAGAACACCCAUUGCGAAGGCAGCUUACUAAACAGCUAUUGACGCUGAGGCACGAAAGCGUGGGGAUCAAACAGG
rnacentral:rRNA from 1 species